rnacentral:rRNA from 1 species
GGACUACCCGGGUAUCUAAUCCCGUUCGCUCCCCUGGCUUUCGCGCAUCAGCGUCAGUGUCAGCCCAGCAACCCGCCUUCGCCGCAGGUGUUCCUCUCGAUAUCUACGCAUUUCACCGCUACACCGAGAAUUCCAGUUGCCCCUUCUGCACUCUAGUCGCACAGUAUCAGUUGACCUUUCCGAGUUAAGCCCGGAGAUUUCACAACUGACUUGUGCUGACCGCCUACGCGCCCUUUACGCCCAGUAAAUCCGAACAACGCUUGCUCCCCCCGUAUUACCGCGGCGGCUGGCAC